rnacentral:rRNA from 1 species
AUUGAACGCUGGCGGCAGGCCUAACACAUGCAAGUCGGACGGUAGCACAGGGGAGCUUGCUCCCCGGGUGACGAGUGGCGGACGGGUGAGUAAUGUCUGGGAAACUGCCUGAUGGAGGGGGAUAACUACUGGAAACGGUAGCUAAUACCGCAUAACGUCGCAAGACCAAAGAGGGGGACCUUCGGGCCUCUUGCCAUCAGAUGUGCCCAGAUGGGAUUAGCUAGUAGGUGGGGUAACGGCUCACCUAGGCGACGAUCCCUAGCUGGUCUGAGAGGAUGACCAGCCACACUGGAACUGAGACACGGUCCAGACUCCUACGGGAGGCAGCAGUGGGGAAUAUUGCACAAUGGGCGCAAGCCUGAUGCAGCCAUGCCGCGUGUAUGAAGAAGGCCUUCGGGUUGUAAAGUACUUUCAGCGGGGAGGAAGGUGUUGUGGUUAAUAACCACAGCAAUUGACGUUACCCGCAGAAGAAGCACCGGCUAACUCCGUGCCAGCAGCCGCAGUAA